GAUGAAGAACGUAGCGAAAUGCGAUAAGUAAUGUGAAUUGCAGAAUUCAGUGAAUCAUCGAAUCUUUGAACGCACCUUGCGCCCUUUGGACAUUCCGAAGGGCAUGCCUGUUUGAGUAUCAUGAACACCUCAACUCUCACGGCUUGUCCGUGAUGAGCUUGGACUUUGGGGGUCUUGCCGGCCUGUGGUCGGCUCCUCUCAAAUGGAUCAGCUUGCCAGUGUUUGGUGGCAUCACAGGUGUGAUAACUAUCUGCGCUUGUGGUUUUCCAUCAGAUAACCUUCAGUGAUAUGGAGGUUCGCUGGAGCUCAUAAAUGUCUCUCCUUAGUGAGGACAGCUCUUUGAACGUUUGAUCUCAAAUCAGGUAGGACUACCCGCUGAGCUUAAGCAUAUCAAUAAGCGGAGGA
rnacentral:misc_RNA from 1 species